UAAUGCCCCUAAAUAUUUUACAAAAUGACAACGUUUGACCCUCUCACAUAAUAGAUCUCGCGACCUUCACUCUCUCUCAGACCUUCACUCUCACAGACUGCUCUUCUCACUUUUCUUCUUCUUCCUCCUCCUGCAUCUCAAUUCCAGUCGCAAUCAAGGACAAUCCAUUGCUAACAACAAUCAGCUACUCAUCAUCUUAGCAGGUUGUGGUAGACAUUUUGAUGCUUCAAAUGAUAUCUUAGGUGAAGAGAUAGGUGAGGAUGUUGAUGUACAACAAGAACUUCAUAGUCUUCAUGACAAUGGAACACAAGAGAUGGAAGCAUUGAGAAAUAGCAUCUCUACAAGUUUAAUGAAUGCAUCUAAUUAGCUUCUUUUAUAUUGUAGUGAUCUAUUUGGGCAUGUUAAAAUUGAAUUUUUUUUGUAUAUUUGUUAUGUUAACCCUCUCUGAAGCCCUCAAAACACAUUGUUAUUAUUAAUAUAACAAUAUUUAGAACUACUUUUGUUA